AAGACAUCCGGGUCCGGCUACUCGCCUUUGAACGACCCAUCUCCUAACAGUAGUAGCCCACGACCAUCGGUUCUCCUAGAUGACAGUUCUUAUGAGCAUUGGCUUAUCAUUUUGGAAUUCCCAGAAUGCCCGAAACCUUUGGAAGAAGAAAUGAUCGAUGCCUAUGUUAAAACCCUCGCUUCUGUUGUCGGCAGGUUUUUAAAUUAUAAUUAUUCCUUCAAAUUUCAUUAAAUCUGGGUUUUAUUUUCUUUUUUGUUUGUCUGAUCUUGUAGUGAAGAGGAAGCGAAAAAGAGAAUAUACUCUGUUUGUACAACGAGGUAUACUGGGUUUCGUGCUUUUUUCUCUGAGCAUUUGGUCGAAAAACUUGGAGGUAAUAUCAUUUCCCAUUUACUAGGGUUUAGGGUUUACAUGGUUUUCCCUUUUUCUAGUGUAAUUGGAACAAGAAACGGGUUUCUUGAAACAGUGGGUUUUCAGAAAGAAGAAAGAAUUAACAUUGGUUUUCAUUGUGUGUGAUGUGUUGCUAGCUGUUUUAGGGUUUUAAACCUCCCGAUGUGAUUGCUUUCUAUACUAAUUUAUUAGGGUUUAAAUGGUUUUCCCCAAUUGCUUUUGUGAGUGUUUUUGAACUUACAAUUGAUGAGGCAUCCACUUUGUUCUAAAAUCAAUUGGCAUUAUGUUUCUACAGUGUUACCUCGUGUACGCUGGGUUUUACCAGUUCGGUAUUGUAGCCGAGAUCAUUAUUAUGCAGGUGGGUAGUUUAAAGAUGAAGUUUGCUGCUUACAGCCAUUGAAGUUCUCAUUGUCAACAAAUUUAAUCUUUUUUUUAUUGGUGGAUUGAUUGCCAGGGGAUCUGUUUGUUGAUGGGAAAGUCUUUCAUAGACCGCAAUUUCCAUGGGUUGGUGUUCCAAAUAGCAGCCACAGAGUUGGAGGAUGUGGUGAUCAUGAGCUUUGGCUUAUCACUUUCGAAUUCCGGGAAGAACCUUCCUUAGAAGAAAAGAUUGAUUUCUAUGUCAAAACCCUCGCUUCUGUUGUCGGCAGGUUUUUGAUUCUUUCAAAUUUGCGUUUUCUUUCCUGGAAUUUGAGAAAUGGGUUUUAUUUUUCUUUUUUGUUUGUAGUGAAGAGGAAGCGAAAAGGAGAAUAUACGCCGUUGGUGGUAGACUAACGGUGUAUACUGGGUUUCGUGCUGUUAUGUCUGAGGAGAUGGCUUAUGAACUUGAAGGUAAUUGCAUUUCUCAUUUAUUAGGGUUUACAUGUGUUCUCAUUUAUUAGGGUUCAGUGUUUGGAAUUGGCGUUAUGUUUGUAUAGGGUUUCCUCUUGUAAAAGGCAUUUAUCGGGAUUCACAGGACGAAUAUGAUGAAGAUUUUGAUGGAGGUGGGUAGUUUAAAGAAUUCAAGAUGAUGUUUGUUGCUUACUGCCAUUGUCAACAAAUUUAAUCUCCUUUUUCUUAUUAGGGCAUUUGCUUGUUGAUGGGAAAGUCGUUCUUAGACCAACCUCUUUUAGCAAGAAGAGGUGCCUGACGCGAUCAGUUCGUUUGGUGGUGAACCAAGUAUUAAACGAUAUUUAUAUUCGUAAAAUGGAUGAAACCGAAACCGAGGGCUAGGACCAGAUCUUUUCUGAUUUGGUGGAUUCAUAGAUCUCUUUAUUUUUUUUUAAUUUAUGUGUUCAAUAUUAGAAGAGUCAUAAUUAUUUGAAUUAUUAAUUCGUGUAAUCUCCAUUCCUAAUGAAUACUUGUUGUUAUUAUUUAAAAUAUAUACGUUUGGUUAUUUAUAAAUCUAUUCUAAUAUCUUUAAUCAUCAUCUCAUUGUAGUCUAAAUUAUUGGUAAUUUAUGUUUUAAUUUCUGAAUUAUUCCCGCCAACAUUGGGGAGGACGACAAAGUCUUCUACAGUAUCAAAAUCCCAUGGAUCCUUAUCACCCCAUACUUUUUAAUUUUUUUUUUCCAAAUGAAUGAUAGUAUAAAUAUAUUAUUGGAAGGAUAUUUAAAGCGAAAAGAUUAAAAUAUCUUCAAAUAAUAUUAUUUACUUUAAUUAUGGAAGGAUAUUUUCGUAAUAUUUUAACCGAAUUGAUAUUCAGUUAAUUCAUGACACUAAAUUAAUUAAAAAUUUAAAUAUAUAUAUACAGCACAUCUGAAUGAAUAUUAUUGGGUUAUGAAAUAACUAAUAUUUAAUUGUCAAAUAUUUAUUAAAUUCAUCUCUAUUUUAUGAAAACUUUAAAAAAUUAAUCCAUUUAUUGAUAAAUACACGGAUUCGAUUUUUGUGUAUUUAAAUAAAUUAACUAUUUUUGUCCGUAAAAAACUCAAUUUUUAGAUCUUUUAAUUCUAAUUUUUUCAGAACCCAUAUUUUACUCUAAUUUAAACCUUUUAGGAAUACAUUUAAAAAAAAUCAUUUUUGAGGAUAGAUUAUUCAACUUUGCUUAUAUUUGGAAUUAUAUAUGAAAUUAAUUGGGGAAAGCUCAAAAAAUAAAAGUUAAAAAAGGCAAUUCGUUAAAUUUAUUAAAUAAAUCACUUUUAUGAUUAAAAAGACUUGUUUAAUUCAUAUAUGUCCACAUAUCACACAGUAGUGUUGAAAGUCGUUUGGAAAUUAUUUAUUGUUGUUAUUAUAUACAAAAUAUAUAAUUUUGAUUUUGAUAAUAAUUAUUGAUUAUUAAUAAAUUUAUUUUAAUAUCUUUAAUGAUAAUUUUUAAUCAUCAUCUUUGGCUGCUGCAUAAACUAACUAAGAUAUUGAACCGAAUAGUUUAUGUCUGGCCUAGUAAUAGUUAAAUAAAGUAACUUUCAAUGGCUCUUUUAUAUGCAGCUGUAUCUUGAUUUAAUGGUUAAAUUAAUAAUUUUAGUAAUAAAAGGAUCUAAUUGGUAUAACAUCGAUAAUUAAAUAAUAUAAUUAAAAUAUUUUGAAGAUAAUUAGUACAAUUAACUAAAACAAAUAAUUUAAUACAGAAAUUAAACAAUAUAAUAAAAAAUUCGAGAUUCAUAAAUCAUAACCAAUUUGGAAGAAACAGAUUUGGUGGAUUCAUAAAUAUCAUUAUUGAUUUUUUAAUUUUUAAAAUAUAUUAUUUAUACAAUAUUAAAGAAGGGUUGAAGAAUAAUAAAAUUUAAAUUCGUGUUAUUAUAUGAAAUAUAUAAUUUUGAUUUUGAUAAUAAUUAAAUAAAUACAUCAUAAACCUUAAGUAAAUAAUUAUUAGACUACUAUAAAUAAUUAUCAGGCAUGUCAAAAUUUAGUAUUUUAGUAAAUAAUAAUUAGAUUAUUUAAAAAAUAAAUAUAUUUAUUAAAGAAAUUAAGGUUUAAAUUUUAAUUUUGUGGAUUUUUAUUGAGUUUAGAUAAAAAGAUAAAAACAUAUUUAAAAUAAUGUAAAUAUAAUUUAUUUUGUGAUUUUAAAAGAUAUGAUUAUCAUAUCACACAAUUUCUAUUUUUUUCUUUUUCUUUUUUUACCAAUAAAUCGGUGACACCGGUGUUAUUUUAUUACGGUCUCAGUCUACUAGUGUCGAAGAAACAAAGCUUAUUAUCAGAGAGAAGCAGCGUUGCCGGAAAAUGGCUUGCCUUAAUGCCCGACGAUCUCUAUCCACCCUUUUAAGCCGCGCCCUCACUGCUUCUUCUUCUUCUUCCUUUCCUUCCCGUUCUCGCCUCACUGUUGCACUCCUCAACAAAACCCCAGUUUUUAUCCCCGAAGCAACCAAAAUCCUGACCCGAACCAAGACAUCCGGGUCCGGCUACUCGCCUUUGAACGACCCAUCUCCUAACAGUAGUAGCCCACGACCAUCGGUUCUCCUAGAUGACAGUUCUUAUGAGCAUUGGCUUAUCAUUUUGGAAUUCCCAGAACACCCGAAACCUUUGGAAGAAGAAAUGAUCGAUGCCUAUGUUAAAACCCUCGCUUCUGUUGUCGGCAGGUUUUUAAAUAAUAAUUAUUCCUUCAAAUUUCAUUAAAUCUGGGUUUUAUUUUCUUUUUUGUUUGUCUGAUCUUGUAGUGAAGAGGAAGCG
rnacentral:lncRNA from 1 species